rnacentral:lncRNA from 1 species
GCCCAAUUUCAACUUCCUGCUACUCAUCCCCAGAAUAUAAGAUAUGCAUACUAUUAGUAGAUCUGGAUAGAAAACACUCUGAAGUUUCUAAAACUGUUUGAAUCAUGUCUGUGAGUAUUUGUGUUUUUCUGGAUCAAACGCGCCAAAUAAAUGGACAUUUUGGAUAUUAUAUCGACUGAAUUAAUCGAACAAAAGGACCAUUUGUGAUGUUUAUGGGACAUAGUGGAGUGCCAACAAAAGAAGCUCGUCAAAGGUAAGGCAUGAUUUAUAUUUUAUUUCUGCGUUUUGCGUAGUGCCUGCAGGGUGAAAUUCUCGCUUUGUUUACUGUUGUGCUAUCAUCAGAUAAUAGCAUCUUAUGCUUUCGCUGAAAAGCCUUUUUGAAAUCUGACAUGUGGCUGGAUUCACAACGAGUGAAGCUACUCUAGUGUAUAGAGACAGUCAAAAGAAAGAUGUAGAUAGUCAAGGGUUAAAUACCAGGUUACAAGAUACGGGGACAUACAGAGAAAACGAGAGAGAGAGAGUAAGGAGAAUCCUCCCUGGGGAAAAGCUUGGACCUUUAAAUUUGGGCUAUUUUCAGGGAAUUGUCUCGGUGCCGGAGUUUGCGACUAUUGGCGGGAAGGAUCUGUCAUUCCAAUAGUGAUGGUGGUCGAGGGGUGGAACUCUUACCUACACUGCGAGAGACUCAGGAGAAAGACCUGCAGAGGGAAGCCACCCAACCCUGAAGGACAGAGGGAGAGACAGGAGAAAGACCUGCAGAGGGAAGCCCCCCAACCCUGAAGGACAGAGGGAGAGACAGGAGAAAGACCUGCAGAGGGAAGCCCCCCAACCCUGAAGGACAGAGGGAGAGACAGGAGAAAGCCCUGCAGAGGGAAGCCCCCCAACCCUGAAGGACAGAGGGAGAGACAGGAGAAAGACCUGCAGAGGGAAGCCCCCCCGACCCUGAAGGACAGAGGGAGAGACAGGAGAAAGACCUGCAGAGGGAAGCCCCCCAACCCUGAAGGACAGAGGGAGAGACAGGAGAAAGACCUGCAGAGGGAAGCCCCCCAACCCUGAAGGACAGAGGGAGAGACAGGAGAAUGCCCUGCAGAGGGAAGACCCCCAACCCUGAAGGACAGAGGGAGAGACAGGAGAAAGACCUGCAGAGGGAAGCCCCCCAACCCUAAAGGACAGAGGGAGAGACAGGAGAAAGCCCUGCAGAGGGAAGCCCCCCGACCCUGAAGGACAGAGGGAGAAACAGGAGAAAGCCCUGCAGAGGGAAGCCCCCCAACCCUGAAGGACAGAGGGAGACACAGG